rnacentral:misc_RNA from 1 species
GAACGCAUCUUGCGCCCCGUGGCAUUCCGCGGGGCAUGUCUGUUUGAGUGUCAUUUCACCACUCAAGCCUGGCUUGGUGUUGGGCGACGUCCCCUUUAGGGACGCGCCUCGAAACGCUCGGCGGCGUGGCACCGGCUUUAAGCGUAGCAGAAUCUUUCGCUUUGGAAGUCGGGGCCCCGUCUGCCGGAAGACCUACUCGUAAGGUUGACCUCGGAUCAGGCAGGGAUACCCGCUGAACUUAAG